GUCUACUGGACGAAAGCGGCAACGUUGCGAUAUUUCCUGCUUAAUAUUUUCAGCAUACAUUUCCAGCUGGUUGCAAGGACUUCUGUGGCAAGUUUGUUUUAUUACUUCCGUGCUCUAUGUCUUUGUUGAACUAUCCAAAAUUUGGUUUUGGGCUGUUUAGAAUUUAUUGUUCACAAAUCUGUCUUGUGCAAGUUUCUCUCUUGGCCGAGAGAGAUAAGCCUUACAGUUGCUGAUCUAGAAGCAUUAGGCAAGAGUGUCUGAGAACGAUGAACUGGAUUGGUAAUUACAAAAGAUCGCAAAUGACCAAUGCUUCGUCUGAGCCCCGGCCAUCAAAGGCCAAAGUUCACAUUAGAGAGCUGUCGCCUUACAAUCUUUUUUUAGGGACAUAUUCAAA